AAGUCGCGGGACUCAAUAUGGCGGCGCGCGCUCGGCCGCUUGACCCCGGUGUCCCCUAAAGCGGGAGGUCUUCAGCAAGGUGAGGUUCCUCUGACCAAGAAGCCGGCUGCCCAGAUGCACUAAGCACGCCUCCCUCGCAUAUUCCGGUGUCAUGCUCCAUCAUAAGUGACUAGACAUAGUUCCAGUGCUACCCAGCAGGAUCUCAUUGCUCAUGCAUUCCAAAGGCAAGAGUCUGCAUCUCAAAAAAUCAAAUACCUGGGAAUACACCUGACCAAGGAGUUCCUGAGCAUUGACCACAAUAGCCCUUUCGGUGGUCCUGGUGGCAGCCGUCCAGCCAGUUCUGCUGUCGUCUUUCUCGUGUGUUCCCAGCUGACACUACGAUUCAGCUCAGAAAAAGCUGGUGUUCAUUUAGUGGGUUCUCUUAAUCGUCAACGUUGGAUGACCAAUAAAUCUGCUCAAUAACUAAGAAACAUAACUUUUUGAUGCAGCCCAUUGUAGUAUGUGUGUGUGCAUCUGUGUGUGUGCACACGUGUUGAUGGAGGCCAGAUUGCGUGGAGGCAGAAGCCAGAUUGUGUGUAUGUGUGUGCGUAAUUAAGGCUUUUAGCAUGCACUUUAUUUGAUUUGAAUUUGAUCUUCUUUAAGUGCAGGGUGAAACAUAGAAUCAAGCCUCACAAAGAAAUCCAAAAGCAUUGUAAAAAUUGUACAGUUUCAAACAUCAUUCAGAUACAAACUCACGCCCGGCCAUGAUUUGAUCCGACAGGCCCCAAGGAUUGGUUUGGAUUUCUCUUGUCCUAGAUUUUCCAGACUUGGAGCUCUUUGUCAGGUGGCCUCUAUGCUCAUUGGUCAGGCAAUCAGACCUGUUGAAAACCAGCCAUCCUCUGACACCGCCUGGUUCAGUCAGUGUAACGAAUCUUUGCUCUCCCUGUCCAGGCCAAUGGGUUUAAUCUGGCAGUCGUGACGCGAGUUGGCGCCUAAGGCCCACGUGUUUCUCCUGCACAUCUUGAAUAUUCUCUAUUUUGAGGCACCCCCCCCCUGCAGUGCCUCCAACCAUUCAGAGCUGGUUCCCAAACCUUCUGUAAAGCUCCCCCUGGCAUCCUUUUGUGACUCUCAGUUGGGACUCCCAAAGAAGGGGCUCCCCCGACCCAAGCAUUCAGGAACUACCCCAUGGAAAAACAUCUCCAUUUUCGUUGAAAAAGCCCAGCAUCACCAGAUUGGGCAUUGCUGGUAAGUUCUCACGUGCUGACUGGUGUCAGACAAAAGAGUGAUGCUGUUUUAAUUUUCAUUUGGCACCUCUUUCUGCCCCAUGGCCCUGGCCAAGAUGUUCAGACGCUUUUAGUGGGGAGGGUAUACAGCUUGUGUCCUCCACUGCUUCCAGGUGGGCAUACAGGUUCUGACCAAAGGGCAGAUUCCCACCACACUUGUGCUCCAUGCUCCUCCAGAAUUCCCUUCCUUCACCUCCUGGGGGAGACCAAGGCUUCGGGAAACAGACAAAAAGAGAACCUACUCCCUCCGGUAUGUUAGGGCAGCAGAGAAUGGGCAGCACAGGAGCUGAGGGCUGUUACCAGACCCCGACGAUGGGGUUACAGGUGUCAUUGCCUCUGAUGGGCCCGACCGGAUGCGCAGGUCCUACAUCAGGAUCCCCGUCUGGGCACGCGCUGGUCUCCUAACCUGCGCCUGCGCCCUUCACGAUAGCUGCAAGGGCGCGGCGACUUGUGAAUUUCUGCGCCUGCUCUCUAGUGCCUCCUUGCUCCAGGUCUUUGGGAACGUCUUUCUCUUUCUGUGCCGUGUGUCAGUUGUGCCUCAUCUGAUAUCAUCCAGCACAUGACAUCGUAGAGAAUAGGAGACCCUAACCGCCCUCCAGCGGAAGCAGGAUGCGUGACUGCUCCUGCUGCCGCCGCCCUUCUCCGUGUCUUCACGUUCCUGUUGGAGGAUUAGAACACAGGCAUUUGGAGUCACUCCUCCGUGUGCAUCGGAUGACCGCUGCUCACCGCUGCCCUGUAGGUUUGGGAACUCUAUUUUCUAGGGUCCCCUCUGCACGUGGGUUUCGGGGCAGAGCCAGCUCACAUCAUCCGGUUCGGGGGCUCCUUUACGCGUCAGGCCGGGGGCGGGGUCUUCCUGCAGGGGCUGCUCCACCGGGCAGCCGUCCCUCCCCUUGAGCUGCUUCUGCGUCUCCUACCCCUUGGUAAACAGGUCAUUGUCUGUAAAUUCGCUGCUUGAACGCAUAGAGCGCUAGUGGCAGACACAGUAAGAGAAAUCCAACAUUAUUCAUAUCCCAGGACAAAGAAUCAAAUUACUGAUCAAAUCACUGAGGGAACCUUUAGGGAAACAAGUGUUCUUUAAGCCCUUUACUUAAGUGGCUUAAAGAAUUCCUAAAAUCACUUUCUUCUCCUGAAGGAAGUUUCUGAGCCAGCGGUGAACACGCUAAGAAUUACAUUCAGGGAGUUCCCGUCAUGGCGCCGAGGAAACGAAUCCGACUAGGAACCAUGAGGUUGCAGGUUCGAUCCCUGGCCCCGCUCAGUGGGUGAAGGAUCCAGCGUUGCCUUGAGCUGUGGUGUAGGUUGAAGACGCAGUUCGAAUCUGGCUUUGCUGGAGCUGUGGUGUAGGCCAGCAGCUGCAGCUCUGAUUUGACCCCUAGCCUGGGAACCUCCAUAUGCCGCAGGUGU
ensembl:lncRNA